AAAAAAGUAAAAGAAAAAGAAAAAGAGAAAAAGAAAGAAAAUCUUCAGGAAACGUAAAAGUCACCGCUUAGGAAAAACUCGGAUCAGGACGCAAAUCAGACGGAAAAGGAUUAUGGGCUGGAAGAUGGACAGAUACAGACAGACUGACCUGAACCUGAAAAUCAGCUGGGCUUUCAUUUCACAUUUGAACGAACGAAGGCAAUGAGCUUGUGUUCUUCCGCUUCUCCCCUACGGAAACUGAAAGUAUCCAAAUCCGCCAACCACCUGCUUUCCCGCGCUUUAACAAGCCACAACCACCAUAAGGAACACAGUAACAGCCGCACCUUCAACAACAACCAGAACACAUCAAGCCCAGUUGAUUCUGAUCUCAUUGCUGAAUUCACGAGACAUGGCUCUCUAUGUAAUCCUUACUUUCUCAACAAAAUCGUGUCCUUUUGUGCCAAAUCCGGUUCUUUCCAUUUGGGCAUUCAAGCCCACUCAACUAUUCUCAAAUUGGGUUUUAUUUCAAACGUGUACAUUUGUAGUGCUGUCGUUGAUAUGUACGCCAAAUGCGGCGAAAUUUCAAGUGCACGAGUAUUGUUUGAUCAAAUGCCUCAAAGAACUGUUGUUACGUGGAAUUCGUUGCUUUCCGGGUAUUUGGCUGUCAAUUGUCCGAAAAUAGCUAUUGAAUUGUUUAUCAAGAUGUUAAAAGCUGCUAUAAAUGUGUCAGCGUUUAGUGUUUCGAGUUGUCUGGCAGGUUGCUCGCAAUUAGAGGACAGAGAAGUCGGGACUCAGGUUCAUGGGCUAAUUUUGAAAACUGGAUUGGGUUAUAAUGUUGUUGUGGGGACGAGCUUGGUUGAUAUGUACUCAAAGUGUGGCGAUGUUGAUGAUUCCAGGCUGGUUUUUGAUCAUAUGGUGAAUAGGAAUGUAAUUACUUGGACUUCUAUGGUUACUGGGUAUUCACAGAUUGAAAAACCUGAUGAAGCAAUGGCUUUGGUUAAAGAAAUGGUGCGUCAGGAUCUCAGGCCAAAUUGUGUAACCUAUAACAGCUUGCUAAGUUCAUUUUCUGGUCCUGAUUGUUUAAGUUAUUGCUUGCAAGUUCAUUGUUGUAUAAUUCAAUUAGGUUUAGAGUCUAAUGUGUAUAUAGCAGCUACACUGGUCACCGUGUAUUCAAAGUGUAGUAGUAGUUUAGAGGACUUCAAGAAGGUGUGCUCAGUUAUUAUUACAUGUGACAAUAUAGCUUGGAAUGCAGUCAUUGCUGGUUACUCUAAAUUAGGGCGUCAUGAGGAAGCUCUCAGAUGUUUCCAUGAAAUGAAGCAGGCUGGUAUUGAUAUAGACUCUUACACGUUAACAAGCGUGGUAGGAGCAAUUGGGAAUAGUUCAUUUCUUGAAGAGGGAAAGGCAAUGCAUGCUCUCAUUCACAGAACUGGCUAUAUUUCACACUUGAAUGUUCAAAACGGGCUUGUUUCCAUGUAUGCGAGAUGUGGAGCCAUCGGUGAUUCAAAGAGGGUCUUUUGGUUCAUGGAGGAACAUGAUGUGAUCUCAUGGAAUGCACUUCUAACAGCAUUUGCUCAUCAUGGGUAUGGCAGAGAGGCUGUGGAAUUGUUUGAACAAAUGAGAAAAACUGAAAUCAAGCCGAAUAGUUCUACCUUCCUUGCUGUGUUGUGUGCUUGUAGCCAUGUUGGUUUUGUGGAUAAGGGAAUUGAGUAUUUUGACGCGAUGAAAAGUGAUAUUUUGCUAGAACCCCUUGAAGUAGAGCAUUAUGCCAGUCUUGUAGAUACUUUUGGUCGAGCUGGGUAUCUUAAUGAGGCGGAAGCCUUCAUUAAUAGUAUGCCUAUAGUACCAGCGCCCUCAGUCUAUAAAGCUCUUCUUAGUGCUAGUCUGGUUCAUGGAAAUAGAGAGAUUGCUGCACGUUCUGCAAAAAAGCUUCUAGAGCUCUGGCCUAAUGAUCCAGCGACAUAUGUACUGCUAUCCAGUGUAUUGACUGUGGAGGGUAAUUGGGACGAUGCAGCAGAUAUACGGAAACUGAUGUGUGAUAGAGGGCUAAGGAAGAAGCCUGGUUAUAGUUGGACUUGAGAGAACGGAUGCCUGGUUUUUUUCUUGCAAUAUCCAGCCCAGUGUCAUUGCAGCAGAAUAGUAGCUGGUUUUGAACAGUCAUUGUCAGGCAGUGGCUGACAGAACUUUUUACCUGGUUUGCUUUUAGCAUACAGGAGUGAUCAGCUAUUUAGGUGAGAAAAAAUGUGAGACAAAGCGGGGCGCAGCUAAAUUGAUGGCGAUAGUCAGGGUUAGGAUGGUUGUCGCCUUCUGCAUAUGAUUAUGAUCUGGAAAAAAGGCGGGCGGGCGGGCGGGCUGCAUUUUUUAACCAUGGACCAUGGUGGCUAGUGUUUUGCUGUGGUCGAUCAAGGCGACCAUGCAAGAGGAAAUACCUCUUUGAAGCCAAUAAGACUACAAAAGGGGAAACAUUCAUGCAGGCUUAGUCAACUUGCUAUUUCAGCAAGUGGUUACUUUUUGUGACAAACAAUUGCAAUCAAUUUAAUUGCAUUAUCUUAUUGCCACAUGUAAAAUUGGAGCCCACAAGUCUCUCUACC